rnacentral:lncRNA from 1 species
UUUCUUCUUCUUCUUCCUUCUUCUUUUCUUUUCUUCCCGUGGCUUGUUUUUGACCGAAACAGGGGAUCUUUGAUCCCCUCAUUGGUUGGCCGGCCGGUGGUGCAGCCGGCACGAAAAUGAUCGGCGGCCAAAGGAGAGUUGAUCCGACGGCAAGAGGCGGCCAAACCGGUGGUCGGCGGUGACCACCGGCGACGGAAAACGGCAAAAAGAAGGAUUUCUUCCGCAACAAAAUCCGGCGACUCCGGUCGCUGGCGAGCGUGCACAUCGGUACGGGAAGGAAGGGGAAGGAGAGAGGAAGGGGAGGAGGCUUACCUCCGUCGUCGGCGAAGCUUUUCCGGCGAGAAAUUGGACGUCACAGUGAUGGAUCUCCAUGAGGAAUUU